UAAGAAGAAAAAAAUGUUUUAAAUUUCUUUCUUGCUGUUUUACAUUUCCAAGGAGAAUGUUAAUCAUUCCACUUUAUUUCACCUCUGGCUGCAUUAAGUGAAAUUUCAUACGUUUCCAAGGAGAAUGUUAAUCGUUUCACCUGGUCCUGCAUUAAGUGUAGUAAACCUACCACUCAUUCAACUUCUAUUAUAAAUAGAGCCCAACUCUUCAUGAAAGAACACCAGCAGUUUUUUUUUACUUUAAAUUACAGUCUUUUAUCAACUGUAAAUGGCUCCGGUUCCGAAAUGGCAUCAAGAUGCGUUCUUCUACGAUGAAGAAUGGACUUGGCGUGUGGAUCGACGUUUUAUGGAAGUUGUGGUGGAAGAUGCAAAGAAGGGCAACUUCUGGUGGGGCACAAUACGAUUACGAACUGCGCGACGUUCUUUCAACUUACGAUAAGCCCCAUAACAUGCCAUAAGGAAAUACUUGGAUAUGCUAAUUAUUUCUUCCAAAACCAACAAGAUUUCUUCAUGCUCUUCUCUAAUAUCCAUCUCAAACAAAAACUGUACGAAAGUGCAAUAACUGAGUCAAUAACAAAGCUAAGUCAUGUAUGAAGUACAAUAAAUUACAGAACUCGUAGGUCUACAACACCGUAUAUAUAAGAUAAAAAAAAUUUAAAAAUUAUCGAUGGGUCAGAGAAGAUUAACCUCACCUCACCUAUUUACCGGCUGCAGAGGGAGCACCGACAGUUGGAGGAACUCUACUAAAUGUUCGAUUCCAAACAUCAGAACAUGGUAUAUAGAUGGUGAAUCAAGAAUGUAAUGCCCAGGUACAAAAAUAAAUAAAAUCAUUUACCUCAGGUAGUCUUCGAAGAAGGGUUUGUUCUUCGAAGCUUGUUCGAAGCCC
rnacentral:lncRNA from 1 species